rnacentral:rRNA from 1 species
UACCCUACGGGAGGCAGCAGUGGGGAAUAUUGGGCAAUGGGCGCAAGCCUGACCCAGCAACGCCGCGUGAAGGAAGAAGGCUUUCGGGUUGUAAACUUCUUUUAUCAGGGACGAAACAAAUGACGGUACCUGAUGAAUAAGCCACGGCUAACUACGUGCCAGCAGCCGCGGUAAUACGUAGGUGGCAAGCGUUAUCCGGAUUUACUGGGUGUAAAGGGCGUGUAGGCGGGCUUGCAAGUCAGAUGUGAAAUUCCAG